GCAGAGACACAUUGGUCUCCUCGCCCAGGUAGCAUCCACCUGCGAGACAGGUGUGCUCCUGCCACCAGGUCCCCGUCCCUCCCACAGGGGUCCAGACAGGGCCUGGCACAGGGGUGGCGGGAUGGCGCCGCCUUUGGUGGCGGGCAGCAGCUCUCUCACCUGCAGGCUGACCAGGCCAGGGCCGUGUCCUUCACCGAGGUGACGGAGGUCUCCUGCUGUCCCUGCAGACGCCGACGAACAGCCCUCGGUGAUAAAGGACCGGGACACGGAGCAAAGGGCCCCCGUCCCCUGCGUCCGGCCCACAGGGCGAACCACAGGCGGGUCUCCGGGCUCAGAGGCCAUCUCUGCGGCCCCGGAGCCUCUUCUGCCGGCCUCUGGGCGCCGGCUGGCCCAGGACGCGGGGCCGAGGGUUCUGGGGGGACAGGCUCCCUCUCUCGGCUCCCCCCGCCGCGCCCACAGCCUGGCCCACCGGGACCCAGGACCUCUCCGCACGCCCCACCCGACCCGGCCACGGAGCAGAUGGCAGGCCAAGAGCCUCGGGAGCGGCUCUUGGGCGCCAUUGGCGAUGCGCGUGCGCGCGGCGGGCGGUCACCGGCACGCGCUUUCUCUGGCAGUUCUGCACAGGGCCAGGAAGGGAGCCGGGUUGCCCUCGGGGUCUGCCCGUGUCCGCCGCUGGAGGGAGGCCCUGCAGCUCCGAGCUCGUCCCCGCCACAGUCCGCGGGGAGAGCCCGGCCAUGGCCACGCCGAGCUGGGCUGCUGCAGCCCCACCACCCGUCCCUCAGGGGACAGUGGGGAAACGGAGGCCAGGAGCGGCAGGGACUGGCUGGGCCCUUGAGCUGGGCAGAGGCCCCAGGACAAGAAAUAGAGGCUCCUCCCAUUUGCAUCGCGGCGUCUGUGUUUCCAUUCACUGGCUUAUUCAUCCACUCAUUCACUCAUGGCCUCACUCACUCACUCAUUCAUCCAGUCAUUCAUUCAUUCAGGCCUUCGCUCAUUCAUCAUCCGUUCAUUCGUUCAGGUAGGAAUUCAUUCUUUUAA
rnacentral:lncRNA from 1 species